CCCACAUGAUAGCUUACACCUAUCUGUAACUUCAGUUCUGGGGGAUGAUCUGGCAGUCGCACAGGCAUACUUGCAGGCAAAUGAACAUAAAUAAAUACAUGGUCUUCUUUCUAUAAAAACCUUAAUCACCCUAUUUGUUAUAAAUUCAGAGAAGGGGUGUGUGUGUGUGUGUGUGUGUGUGCGUGCGCGUGUGUUUCAUUGCUUUCAUAAAAUACCCUGAUAAAAGCAAUUUAAAACAGAAAGGGUUUAUUCUAUUUCACAGUUCAGGGAGAUGCAGUCCAUCAUGGUGGAGAAGACAUAGCAACAAGCAGAAAGGCUCUUGCUGCAGAUCCCACAAUCUUUACAAGCAGCAUGACCAUCUGGGGACCAAGUGUUCAAGCAGAAAUAAAUGCACCAAAAAACUUCUGGUGGUGUGCUGGUAGCUUCUUGCCGCUUCCUCAGAUUCAGGCUGAUUGGCAGAGUGAUGGCAGCUAAGACAGACUCCUGUGAAGUUUUGCUACAGACUCACAGGGUGAGGUAAGACCCAUGGGAGGAUACAUGAUAUUUGGAGGGAGUAUAAAUAGGACCCAGCAGACAGUGAUGGCAGGCUUGCAUAGCUAGCUUUGCAACACUUCUUAGUCUUGUAUCUCUCUGAUCUUCAAUUCACUGUCCUGGUGUUCCUGCUGGUCCUAAUUGUCCUGGCAUCCCUGCUGGUCCUAAUUGCCCCUGCUGACUCAUGCCAAUGUGGUUGAGGCCUGGCUGUUUCUGCUAGCUUGUGACACUGUUUCUGAUUUGUGUUUGCUAUCCCGACACUACUGAACUGGACUGCUGGGAUAUUCAUGAAGUGUUUACUAGUGGAUGGAGCUGGCACUUCUG
rnacentral:lncRNA from 1 species